rnacentral:rRNA from 1 species
AUUGAACGCUGGCGGCAGGCCUAACACAUGCAAGUCGAACGAGUGGCGGACGGGUGAGUAAUGUCUGGGCAACUGCCCGAUGGAGGGGGAUAACUAAUGGAAACGGUAACGAAAACCGCACACAAUCAGCUGUGCCAAUAUGGGAUUGGCUUGUUGGGGGGGUAACGGCUAACCAAGGCGACGACCCCUAGCUGGUCUGAGAGGAUGAACAGCCAAACUGGAACUGCGACACGGUCCAGACUCCUACGGGAGGCAGCAGUGGGGAAUAUUGCACAAUGGGCGCAAGCCUGAUGCAGCCAUGCCGCGUGUAUGAAGAAGGCCUUCGGGUUGUAAAGUACUUUCAGCGGGGAGGCGUUACCCGCAGAAGAAGCACCGGCUAACUCCGUGCCAGCAGCCGCGGUAAUAC